rnacentral:rRNA from 1 species
AAGCUCGUAGUUGAAUUUCGGGGGUUAGUAGGUUGGUCAUGCCUCUGGUAUGUACUGGUCUCACUGAUUCCUCCUUCCUUAUGAACCGUAAUGCCAUUAAUUUGGUGUUGCGGGGAAUUUGGACUGUUACUUUGAAAAAAUUAGAGUGUUUAAAGCAAGCUAACGCUUGAAUACAUUAGCAUGGAAUAAUGAAAUAGGACGUUCGAUCUUAUUUUGUUGGUUUCUAGGAUUGACGUAAUGAUUAAUAGGGAUAGUUGGG